rnacentral:lncRNA from 1 species
AAUGGGUGAAACCCAGGGAGAUGCUCUGUCGUCUGGAGUAAAGAAGCCCUCUGGCAGUAUUCAGCACAAGAAGGAGGUUGAAUCAAGUAAGGUGCAUGCCAAAAGGGGUAAAGGUCGUUAUCACCCGUAUGCUGAUGCAUUGACUGUUCCUGCUGGUAAUUCAUCUGUACUACAACAGCGGCAGUCACCUCCACAGAGAACACAGAAAGCU